rnacentral:rRNA from 1 species
GUUGGGUAGGGGAGCGUUCUGUAAGCCGUUGAAGGUGGCCUGUGAGGGCUGCUGGAGGUAUCAGAAGUGCGAAUGCUGACAUAAGUAACGAUAAUGCGGGUGAAAAACCCGCACGCCGGAAGACCAAGGGUUCCUGUCCAACGUUAAUCGGGGCAGGGUGAGUCGACCCCUAAGGCGAGGCUGAAAAGCGUAGUCGAUGGGAAACAGGUUAAUAUUCCUGUACUGGGUGUGACUGCGAAGGGGGGACGGAGAAGGCUAGGCUAGCCGGGCGACGGUUGUCCCGGUUUAAGCAUGUAGGCGGAGCGACUUGGUAAAUCCGGUUGCUUAUCAACGCUGAGGUGUGAUGACGAGCCACUACGGUGGUGAAGUAGUUGAUGCCAAGCUUCCAGGAAAAGCCUCUAAGCAUCAGGUGACAUUCAAUCGUACCCCAAACCGACACAGGUGGUCAGGUAGAGAAUACUCAGGCGCUUGAGAGAACUCGGGUGAAGGAACUAGGCAAAAUGGUGCCGUAACUUCGGGAGAAGGCACGCUGGCAUUAGGUAAAGAGACUUGCUCUCGGCGCCGAAGCCAGUCGCAGAUACCAGCUGGCUGCAACUGUUUAAUAAAAACACAGCACUGUGCAAACACGAAAGUGGACGUAUACGGUGUGACGCCUGCCCGGUGCUGGAAGGUUAAUUGAUGGGGUCAGCCGCAAGGCGAAGCUCUUGAUCGAAGCCCCAGUAAACGGCGGCCGUAACUAUAACGGUCCUAAGGUAGCGAAAUUCCUUGUCGGGUAAGUUCCGACCUGCACGAAUGGCGUAAUGAUGGCCAGGCUGUCUCCACCCGAGACUCAGUGAAAUUGAACUCGCUGUGAAGAUGCAGUGUACCCGCGGCAAGACGGAAAGACCCCGUGAACCUUUACUAUAGCUUGACACUGAAUAUUGAGCCUUGAUGUGUAGGAUAGGUGGGAGGCAUCGAAGCGUGGACGCCAGUCUGCGUGGAGCCAACCUUGAAAUACCACCCUUUAAUGUUUGAUGUUCUAACUCGGCCCCAUAAUCUGGGGUGAGGACAGUGUCUGGUGGGUAGUUUGACUGGGGCGGUCUCCUCCCAAAGAGUAACGGAGGAGCACGAAGGUUAGCUAAUCACGGUCGGACAUCGUGAGGUUAGUGCAAAGGCAUAAGCUAGCUUGACUGCGAGAGUGACGGCUCGAGCAGGUACGAAAGUAGGUCUUAGUGAUCCGGUGGUUCUGAAUGGAAGGGCCAUCGCUCAACGGAUAAAAGGUACUCCGGGGAUAACAGGCUGAUACCGCCCAAGAGUUCAUAUCGACGGCGGUGUUUGGCACCUCGAUGUCGGCUCAUCACAUCCUGGGGCUGAAGUAGGUCCCAAGGGUAUGGCUGUUCGCCAUUUAAAGUGGUACGCGAGCUGGGUUUAGAACGUCGUGAGACAGUUCGGUCCCUAUCUGCCGUGGGCGUUGGAAGAUUGAGAGGGGCUGCUCCUAGUACGAGAGGACCGGAGUGGACGCAUCACUGGUGUUCGGGUUGUCAUGCCAAUGGCAUUGCCCGGUAGCUAAAUGCGGAAAAGAUAAGCGCUGAAAGCAUCUAAGCGCGAAACUUGCCUCGAGAUGAGUCUUCCCUGGGGCUUUAAGCCCCCUGAAGGAACGUUAAAGACUAUGACGUUGAUAGGCUGGGUGUGUAAGUGCAGCGAUGCAUUGAGCUAACCAGUACUAAUGAUCCGUGAGGCUUAACCUUACAACACCGAAGGUGUUU